rnacentral:rRNA from 1 species
AGCAGCCGCGGUAAUUCCAGCUCCAAUAGCGUAUAUUAAAGUUGUUGCAGUUAAAAAGCUCGUAGUUGAAUUUCGGGAUCAAUAUGUCGGUCGUGCCUUCGGUACGUACUGGCAUCAUUGGUUUCUCCCUUCUGACAAACCAUGAUGUCAUUAAUUUGGUGUUAUGGGGAGUUAGGACUGUUACUUUGAAAAAAUUAGAGUGUUUAAAGCAGGCAUUAGCUUGAAUACAUUAGCAUGGAAUAAUGAAAUAGGACGUUUGACCCUAUUUUGUUGGUUUCUAGGAUCGACGUAAUGAUUAAUAGGGAUAGUUGGGGGCAUUAGUAUUCAAUUGUCAGAGGUGAAAUUCUUGGAUUUAUUGAAGACUAACUACUGCGAAAGCAUUUGCCAAGGAUGUUUUCAUUAAUCAAGAACGAAAGUUAGGGGAUCGAAGACGAUCAGAUACCGUCGUAGUCUUAACCAUAAACUAUGCCGACUAGGGAUCGGAUGAUGUUAAUUUUUUAAUGACUCAUUCGGCGCCUUA